CGUAGGAGCCCGUCCAUAAAUGCAGAACAGCAGCUGUGGGAGGCCUGGAAACUGAGUUUUGGAAGGAUUCAGUAUCGGACAAACAUCACUCCAGGGGAACACAGCAGAGGUGUAGUUCCAGCCUAUCUGUCCAGCUCUAGUCCAACCUUCUCUGCUGUCCAUGGUUUUGAAAGUCUUCUGCUCCGGGUGACCAGCAUAGAAAGCUCUUGCUAGCUGGUGAUGGAAGUGUGCUGGAGCAAUGGGAGAAGCUGGUAACUUCUAGGAAGCCAAGAUGACCAGAAUUGUUUUAGAUCAUCAGUAAGUAAAAUUUUCUUAGCCCAUUGGAAGUCUUUUGAUUACCAGUAAACGUUCUCUGAGAAACCACAGUAAAAGAGUAGCUCAAUCAAACAGCUAAAAAGUCUGAAUGAGAAAAUGUUUAAAAAAUAAAUAUCCAGACACUUCAAAAAAU
rnacentral:lncRNA from 1 species